rnacentral:lncRNA from 1 species
CCAGCACAGUAAAGGAGGUUCCCUGUCUGGACACCCCAGGCCCUCUAGUCACCCUAGCUACCCUUGAGUCCUCCACACUGGUCACCCCGGCCUCCCCAGAAACCCCAUCUCCCGGGGCACCCCAAGGAGAGGAGGUCCCCAGCCCGGACACCCCAAAAGGCUGUGACCCCCUGGACCAGUUAAUGGUCCAACUCGUGGAGGAGAACCGGACCCCAUCAAGGGGCCGUAAAAAGAGGGCCAGGUCAGCCCCCGUGGCCCUCCUCGUUGCCCCGGAGGCCCCAAAGAGUAGGGCCAGGACACCCCCUGUGGCCCUCCUCAUUGCCCCGGAGGCCCCAAAGACUAGGGCCAGGACACCCCCUGUGGCCCUCCUCAUUGCCCCGGAGGCCCCAAAGAGUAGGGCCAGGAAACCCCCUGUGACCCUCCUCAUUGCCCCGGAGGCCCUAGAGAGAAAGCCGCAUGUUCUCCCGGCCCAGCAGUUGAAGUGCAGGGGGCUGCCUAACCUCGGACAGACCUGCUAUAUCAACUCCACCCUGCAGUGUCUGUUCGCUCUGCAGCCCCUCUGCAUCCAGCUGCUCCUGCAGGAGGAGACAUGGAGGCAGGAGCCCUCAGCACUGCUCCUCAGCUCCUUUGUGGGUCUCUGGUGCCUGAGGAAAUCCACGGACAGGCAGCUGAAGGCGGCAGUGCUGAUGGAGCUGAAGGACUGCAUCGCCCUGCGCAACCAAGAAUUCAAGGGGAACUCACAGAACGUGAGAAAACACACACAUGA